rnacentral:rRNA from 1 species
GAUGAACGCUGGCGGCGUGCCUAAUACAUGCAAGUCGAGCGAACAGACGAGGAGCUUGCUCCUCUGACGUUAGCGGCGGACGGGUGAGUAACACGUGGAUAACCUACCUAUAAGACUGGGAUAACUUUGGGAAACCGGAGCUAAUACCGGAUAAUAUAUUGAACCGCAUGGUUCAAUAGUGAAAGACGGUUUUGCUGUCACUUAUAGAUGGAUCCGCGCCGCAUUAGCUAGUUGGUAAGGUAACGGCUUACCAAGGCGACGAUGCGUAGCCGACCUGAGAGGGUGAUCGGCCACACUGGAACUGAGCCACGGUCCAGACUCCUACGGGAGGCAGCAGUAGGGAAUCUUCCGCAAUGGGCGAAAGCCUGACGGAGCAACGCCGCGUGAGUGAUGAAGGUCUUCGGAUCGUAAAACUCUGUUAUUAGGGAAGAACAAAUGUGUAAGUAACUAUGCACGUCUUGACGGUACCUAAUCAGAAAGCCACGGCUAACUACGUG